AGCGAACGCUGGCGGCAGGCCUAACACAUGCAAGUCGAGCGCGUGUAGCAAUACACGAGCGGCAGACGGGAGAGUAACACGUGGGAACGUACCCUUCGGUUCGGAAUAACCCAGGGAAACUUGGACUAAUACCGGAUACGUCCGAAAGGAGAAAGAUUUAUCGCCGAAGGAUCGGCCCGCGGCUGAUUAGCUAGUUGGUGAGGUAACGGCUCACCAAGGCUACGAUCGGUAGCUGGUCUGAGAGGAUGAUCAGCCUCACUGGGACUGAGACACGGCCCAGACUCCUACGGGAGGCAGCAGUGGGGAAUAUUGGACAAUGGGCGCAAGCCUGAUCCAGCCAUGCCGCGUGGGUGAUGAAGGCCCUAGGGUUGUAAAGCCCUUUCGGCGGGGAAGAUAAUGACGGUACCCGCAGAAGAAGCCCCGGCUAACUUCGUGCCAGCCGCCGCCGUAAAAC
rnacentral:rRNA from 1 species